AGCUUUGCGCAGUGGCAGUAUCGUAGCCAAUGAGGUUUAUCCGAGGCGCGAUUAUUGCUAAUUGAAAACUUUUCCCAUAUCACAUCACAGGAAAACACGUGUAGUGGACUGAAUACCCAAGGGGGC
rnacentral:snRNA from 1 species